AAAGGCAAAAUGUCCCAAGGCCCGCCCUUCCCAUGGUUUCUAGCUGUCCUUUCCCGCGGAUGAAAAGGAGGAGGUCACCAGUCCAUGGGAUUCUGACAGCGUGCCCUGCAGAGUUCAAAGAAUUAUUCAUUCGUCUGUGUAUGAAUCAUGACAAGGGGCUUCUCUGGCUCCCGAACGCUGGAGCACUCUCUCCACCCGGGAGCUGGAAGGUCUCUUCAAAAGGAUCCUGACACCCAGGCGAACAUCUCAUUGAAUUGCCGUGAGCAAAGGAAAACAUUACACUGCAGAUUCUGAAAUCACCAGAUUCUUCAGAAACCCAGAUGACAAUCCACUAGGACAAACAUGCAAGGAAGGCACAGAGCACACUAAUGACAUUUGCCCCGCCAUCAGCCCCACACCCCAGCCCGACACCUGGGAGGGGACUGACUGGCAGGCGGCGGGCACCGGCGAGGACGCCGGCCGUGCACAGCAGCAGGUCGCUUCCCCUGGCGGAGGACGAUCGCGCCCGGAGUUAUCGCCGCCAACCGCCGCUUCCCUGCACCCCGCCGCUCCCGCACGUCUGGCCGUCGGGUCCUGACCGUCCCUCCUGACCCGCGGCCUUUCCAGUGCUUCCCCCGUGUCCCUGCUGGGGGCCUGCGCCACGUCCUGCUACCUAGCCCUGGCACUGGUUUCUCGUCUCCCAGGAGACGGUUCCCGUUCUCCGAUCUCCAGGAGAGGCUCGACGGUCUGCGCUCUCACCAUCACUCAUCGGACAGAACGGGCCUCUCCGUCGCUGAAUCUCGGGAGGCUGCGGAUCUCGCACGCUAUUGUACAACCUCAUUAAACUAAAGCUAUCCUCGAUCACCUCGUUUUACCUUUUCUUGUGGAUUUUAAGCUGAAAGGGAUAGAAGCUUUUGUUUUCUCCACGGUGUCUUCCACAGGUCAGCAGUGUUGCCAAAAACAUAUGAAAACAAAUCAAUAAAUACUUAUACAUAAAGAAACAUCCAUUCUUUAAAAAAUAUCAAGUCAAGACGUAAGUGUACGACUAUCAACACCCUGCCUCAGGCCCUUUGCACUUUGGCACCUCAGGCUUAAACAUUCUUCUCCCAGAUGUUGGCGGGUUCACUCCCCCAGCCUUCCAGUCCUCUGCUCAGAUUACACCUCCUCGAUGAAGCUUGGCGCGUCCAUCCUUCAGAAAACUGCAACUCGUCUCCUCCACCCCUCCUUCACGUUCCCAAUCCCCUACUCUGCUGUUUCUCCCGAAGCCUCUCUCCCCUUCCAACAUACAGAAGUUACCACAGUUUUGCUUACUGAAGGCAACCUACACGAGGAGAGGGGCUGGGGCAGGGAGAGUGGUCACUGAUGGAUCUCAGACACUCAGAACCCUGACUGGCACACAGACGUCACUCAACAGACGUUUCUUUAAAGAAUUGAAUAAAAGAAUUCAAACGUUA